UGCCAUCAUCUUCUUCCCACAGCUCAGCUGUUAGCAGAGAAUUUUUGCAGUUGGGGAACACAUCUGUUCUUCUCUCUCCUUUUAACAUUGAAGAUGCUGCUCUCACCAACUCUCACUGUUCUGGGGGAGUUUGGUGAGUAAAGUCAGAGGCAUCAGACAGCACAGGAGUUGUACCUUGUGCAUGACCUCUGCCAGUCAGCUGGUCGGUUGGCCGGAGUUUCUCAUCAAGGAGUACAUGCUGUUUGCUCCCCAGAUGGACAGGCUGUAUGAGUAACAAAUCCACAGAGCCUGGGACACAAGAGAAUUGCCUGAGACCUGAAGCCAGGACAUGGAAAGUUUCUCUUUCCUAUGUCCUUCACCUAUACUGCAAUUUAAAGAGCAGAAAAAAUCAGCUAGCCUGAGCCAAAUAGCCCCGUCCCUUUCAGCUCACCACAGCAAAAUAGGACAGCACAGAAUAAAGGGGGAAUUCCCACUAGAAAGAUCCAAUAAUGCUUUGGGGGGAAAAGGGAUUUCAAAUGUUCUUUUAAUAGUAAGUUUUGGUGAAUGCUUUGUUCU